rnacentral:rRNA from 1 species
UACGGAGGGGGUUAGCGUUGUUCGGAAUGACUGGGCGUAAAGCGCGCGUAGGCGGAUCGGAAAGUCGGGGGUGAAAUCCCGGGACUCAACCCCGGAAUGGCCUUCGAAACUCCCGGUCUUGAGUUCGAGAGAGGUGAGUGGAAUUCCGGGUGUAGCGGUGGAAUGCGUAGAUAUCGGAAGGAACACCAGUGGCGAAAGCGGCUUCCUGGUCCAGCACCGACGUUCAGGCACGAAAGCGUGGGGAGCAAACAGG